UAAAUAUUGUUCUCCCUAAUAUAUGAUAGAUCAGGUUAAGUAAACAGCCAGAAGAACUCCACCCACCCAUAUUGUUGUCACUUGUCUCCUUGUUUUGUUUUGUUUUAACACCUACCUUCUUGCAAAAAUUGCCUGUAGGUAGCUUGUGCCUGCCAUGACAUGACUAGAGUCCAUACCGGUAUCCCUUUUUGCUUUAUCUUGGCGGCUAUAUAGUUGUGUGAAGAUGGUGGAUACUAGGCUCAUGUGUUGUUAAUGGUUACAUCACUUUUCAUUUUGAAUUGAUGGAGCAGGGCAUCCUUACAAUUGUAAAACUAACCAUACUUUGUUGGAAGCCGUUCUGUUAGGUUGUGCAUCAGUUGGGUAAAGGACGAGGCUCAAAUCCAAAUAUUGAUUGACCAAUGAAAGGUUGGAGUGGGCAGGGCCAUGACCAUGUAACGAAAAAAUGGACGUGAUUUUGUGCAUCCUAGCUUUCAAGUGAAAAAUAAGACAUUAGCAAGUUGUGAUUCACACAAGGCCUGUACUCACUCAGCGCACAAUUAACUGGCGGUCCUAUUGAAGUAAGUUGUGACUCAAGGCCAACCGACGUUUGACUGCAAUUGCUGAUCGAAAGAAGCGUGCCAGAAAAACCCAUCCUGGACGAGUUCGCUGACGUUUCAAGGAGGAGCUGGGCUGCUAUCGAGGCGGGGAAGUCGGCAUCGACGUAGACCCGGACGUCCAGCCUCGUUUCUUCAAGCCUCGCACCGUACCGCUGGCCUUCAGGGAAGCUGUGGACACCGAGCUGGAGGACCAGAUCCGUGGCGGACUCUGGGAACAGAGUGACACCGAUACCUGCUCCUGAUCCGGUCACGGAGAGCGCCGCUGCAUCUGCACGGCAUGCUCCCGUUCCCGGACAACUGGCCUCCACUCCCGACCGGCUGCCGGCUCCUGAUCGAGCGCCUGCUCCUGGCCGGCCGCCUGUUCCGGCGCCGCCCGGGCUGACCGGAGCGGUGCCCGCGCCGGGUGUGACCACCGUCCCGCCGUCCGCACCCUCUCCCAGCGCGCCGCGGUACCGGCUGAGAGACCGGUCCACCCUGCAGCCCCCAGACCGAUACGUGGCGAGCUAUGAGUAGGCGUUUUGUUUCAGUUGUUAUUUGUUCUGUGAGGUGCAUAUUUAUUUGUUUGUCCAUGCUGUGCAAGUAUUCGGGGUGGAGGAGUGUCAUGGAGCUGAGCUGGCGGCCGCCGCGCCGGUGCACGCGUACUUGCGCUCGUGACAUGCGCUCAUGACACUCGUAUGUGAACCGUGGUGGCGUUGCCUCUGUGACCCGGGGGCUACCUGGCCGGCUCGAAUACAGUUUGGACCGAGA